rnacentral:tRNA from 1 species
GUGGGUAUAGUUUAACAAAAUAUUAGAUUGUGAUUCUAAAGACAGGGGUUAAAACCCCCUUAUCCGCC